GACGAACGCUGGCGGCGCGCUUAACACAUGCAAGUCGAACGGAAAGGCCUGCUUUCCCUUGUGGAUUGCGGGUACUCGAGUGGCGAACGGGUGAGUAACACGUGAGUGAUCUGCCCCCAACUUGGGUAUAAGCCUGGGAAACUGGGUCUAAUUCCCGAUAGGACUGCAGGGUGGUGACGGUGGUGGAAAACGGUUUUCUAGUGGGUGGGGAUGAGCUCGCGGCCUAGCAGCUUGUUGGUGGGGUAAUGGCCUACCAAGGCGGCGACGGGUAGCCGGUCUGGGGGGGUGGGCCGGCGAAUGGGGACUGAGACAAGGCCCCGAAGCCACCGGGCGGCAGCAGUGGGGAGUAAUGGACAGUGGGCGGAACCCAGAUGCCGGGACGCCGGGGUGGGGAUGACGGGCUUCGGGUUGUUACCUUCUUUUGACCGCCAGGAAGCCACAUGGGUGGAAGGGGUGGUAAGGUAACGGGAGAAAGAAGAACGGCUAACUACGUG
rnacentral:rRNA from 1 species